AUGACUAAUCACCAACACUGUCUUCACCACCACCAUCAUCAUCACCCUCACCACCACCUCCAUCACCACCACCACCACCAUCAUCACCCCUCCACCUCCAUCACCACCACCAUCAUCAUCGCCCCUCCACCACCUCCAUCACUGCCACCACCAUCAUCGCCCCUCCACCUCCAUCACCACCACCAUCAUCACCCCUCCACCACCUCCAUCACCACCACCACCAUCAUCACCCCUCCACCUCCAUCACCACCACCAUCAUCACCCCUCCACCUCCAUCACCACCACCACCACCAUCAUCACCCCUUCACCUCCAUCACCACCACCAUCAUCGCCCCUCCACCUCCAUCACCACCACCAUCAUCACCCCUCCACCUCCAUCACCACCACCACCACCAUCAUCACCCCUUCACCUCCAUCACCACCACCAUCAUCGCCCCUCCACCUCCAUCACCACCACCAUCAUCGCCCCUCCACCUCCAUCACCACCACCAUCAUCACCCCUCCACCACCUCCAUCACCACCACCACCAUCAUCACCCCUCCACCUCCAUCAUCACCACCAUCAUCGCCCCUCCACCUCCAUCACCACCACCAUCAUCGCCCCUCCACCUCCAUCACCACCACCAUCAUCGCCCCUCCACCUCCAUCACCACCACCACCACCAUCAUCACCCCUUCACCUCCAUCACCACCACCAUCAUCGCCCCUCCACCUCCAUCACCACCACCACCAUCAUCACUCCUCCACCUCCAUCACCACCACCAUCAUCGCCCCUCCACCUCCAUCACCACCACCACCACCAUCAUCACCCCUCCACCUCCAUCACCACCACCAUCAUCGCCCCUCCACCUCCAUCACCACCACCACCAUCAUCACUCCUCCACCUCCAUCACCACCACCAUCAUCGCCCCUCCACCUCCAUCACCACCACCACCACCAUCAUCACCCCUUCACCUCCAUCACCACCACCAUCAUCGCCCCUCCACCUCCAUCACCACCACCACCAUCAUCACUCCUCCACCUCCAUCACCACCACCAUCAUCGCCCCUCCACCUCCAUCACCACCACCACCACCAUCAUCACUCCUCCACCUCCAUCACCACCACCAUCAUCGCCCCUCCACCUCCAUCACCACCACCAUCAUCACCCCUCCACCUCCAUCACCACCACUACCACCAUCAUCACCCCUCCACCUCCAUCACCACCACCACCACCAUCAUCGCCCCUCCACCUCCAUCACCACCACCAUCAUCACCCCUCCACCACCUCCAUCACCACCACCACCAUCAUCACCCCUCCACCUCCAUCACCACCACCAUCAUCGCCCCUCCACCUCCAUCACCACCACCAUCAUCACCCCUCCACCUCCAUCACCACCACCAUCAUCGCCCCUCCACCUCCAUCACCACCACCACCACCAUCAUCACCCCUUCACCUCCAUCACCACCACCAUCAUCGCCCCUCCACCUCCAUCACCACCACCACCACCAUCAUCACCCCUCCACCUCCAUCACCACCACCAUCAUCGCCCCUCCACCUCCAUCACCACCACCAUCAUCACCCCUCCACCUCCAUCACCACCACCAUCAUCGCCCCUCCACCUCCAUCACCACCACCAUCAUCACCCCUCCACCUCCAUCACCAUCACCAUCAUCGCCCCUCCACCUCCAUCACCACCACUACCACCAUCAUCACCCCUCCACCUCCAUCACCACCACCAUCAUCACCCCUCCACCUCCAUCACCACCACCAUCAUCACCCCUCCACCUCCAUCACCACCACCAUCAUCACCCCUCCACCUCCAUCACCACCACCACCAUCAUCACCCCUCCACCUCCAUCACCACCACCAUCAUCACCCCUCCACCUCCAUCACCACCACCACCAUCAUCGCCCCUCCACCUCCAUCACCACCACCAUCAUCACCCCUCCACCACCUCCAUCACCACCACCACCACCAUCACCCCUCCACCUCCAUCACCACCACCAUCAUCACCCCUCCACCUCCAUCACCACCACCAUCAUCACCCCUCCACCUCCAUCACCACCACCACCAUCAUCACCCCUCCACCUCCAUCACCACCACCACCAUCAUCACCCCUCCACCUCCAUCACCACCACCAUCAUCACCCCUCCACCACCUCCAUCACCACCACCAUCAUCACCCCUCCACCACCUCCAUCACCACCACCACCAUCAUCACCCCUCCACCUCCAUCACCACCACCAUCAUCACCCCUCCACCUCCAUCAUCACCACCAUCAUCACCCCUCCACCUCCAUCACCACCAUCACCAUCAUCACCCCUCCACCUCCAACACCACCACCACCAUCACCCCUCCACCUCCAUCAUCACCACCAUCAUCACCCCUCCACCUCCGUCAUCACAGUCACCAUUGCCACCAUCACUAGUAGCACUGUCUAUCACACUUGUGUUACCUGUUUAA
ensembl:lncRNA